UAGGGAAUAUUGGACAAUGGGCGCAAGCCUGAUCCAGCCAUGCCGCGUGAGUGAAGAAGGCCUUCGGGUUGUAAAGCUCUUUUAUCCGGAAAGAAAAGCUUCGGGUUAAUACCCUGGAGUUCUGACGGUACCGGAAGAAUAAGCACCGGCUAACUUCGUGCCAGCAGCCGCGGUAAUACGAAGGGUGCAAGCGUUACUCGGAAUUACUGGGCGUAAAGCGUGCGUAGGUGGUUUGUUAAGUCUGAUGUGAAAGCCCUGGGCUCAACCUGGGAAUGGCAUUGGAUACUGGCAGGCUAGAGUGCGGUAGAGGGUAGUGGAAUUCCCGGUGUAGCAGUGAAAUGCGUAGAGAUCGGGAGGAACAUCUGUGGCGAAGGCGACUACCUGGACCAGCACUGACACUGAGGCACGAAAGCGUGGGGAGCAAACA
rnacentral:rRNA from 1 species